CGGGUGGUUAGAAUAUCAUUGGAAUCCUUGCGGGGAUUAUACAAAGUAUCCUGUGGAAAUGAGGAGAACUGUCCUGAGACGGUACCCCCGCACCCAAAACCCAGAGUAAGCAAUCAUUUUCUACGGCGUUUCCGCGAACUGAGCCCCAAAACCCAGGAAUCCCGCUAUCAGGCGGCCCGAGGCAAUUUAUCGACGGGGCUUUCUUAUCAGUGGUUACCAUUACUAGCAACCAGCACCGGAAUAGACUACACCACCACUACCAGGACAAAUCACUUGAAUGUGAAUCGAAAUCGGAAAAGGAGAAGACAACGCGAUGAGGUCAUCCGCUGACCUCAGGUGACA